rnacentral:rRNA from 1 species
GGAACCCUGAUGCAGCGACGCCGCGUGAGCGAAGAAGGUUUUCGAUCGUAAAGCUCUGUCCUAUGGGAAGAUAAUGACGGUACCAUAGGAGGAAGCCCCGGCUAACUACGUGCCAGCAGCCGCGGUAAUACGUAGGGGGCUAGCGUUGUCCGGAAUCACUGGGCGUAAAGGGUUCGCAGGCGGAAAAGCAAGUCAGGUGUGAAAGGCGAGGGCUUAACCCUCGUAAGCAUUUGAAACUGGUUUUUCUUGAGAUGUGGAGAGGUAAGUGGAAUUCCUAGUGUAGCGGUGAAAUGCGUAGAUAUUAUGAGGAAUACCGGUGGCGAAGGCGACUUACUGGACACAAACUGACGCUGAGGAACGAAAGCGUGGGGAGCAACAGAUAAUAUACCCGGGUAGUCACGCUGUAAACGAUGAGUGCUAGGUGUCGGAAUAAUCUCGUGCCG